UCUUAUGUACAUUCCUACAACAUAGUGUUAAUGCACAAGAUCCCAUUAGAACUCCGCAAUUAAGCACGCUAGGGAUAGAUUAGUACUGAUAUGGGUGACCACUUGAGAAGUAUUAUU
rnacentral:rRNA from 1 species